GGGCGGAUGGUGUAGUUGGUUAUCACGCUCGCUUAGCAUAUUACGUAAUUCCUGAUUACGUAAUCAGUUUGCGAGAGGUGCUGGGUUCAAUUCCCAGUUCGUCCA